AAGGAUCAUUACAGAGUUCAUGCCCUCACGGGUAGAUCUCCCACCCUUGAAUAUUAUACCUUAGUUGCUUUGGCAGGCCGGGGCAACCCCCGGGGCUUCGGCCUUGGUGUGCCUGCCAGAGGAAACAAACUCUGUUUUUAGUGAUGUCUGAGUACUAUAUAAUAGUUAAAACUUUCAACAACGGAUCUCUUGGUUCUGGCAUCGAUGAAGAACGCAGCGAAAUGCGAUAAGUAAUGUGAAUUGCAGAAUUCAGUGAAUCAUCGAAUCUUUGAACGCACAUUGCGCCCCGUGGUAUUCCGCGGGGCAUGCCUGUUCGAGCGUCAUUUCAACCCAUCAAGCUUCGGCUUGGUCUUGGGGCCUGCGAUUCCGCAGCCUCUAAACCCAGUGGCGGUGCCUCCGAGCUCUGAGCGUAGUAAUUCUUCUCGCUAUAGGGUCUCGGUGGUGUCUUGCCAGUAACCCCCAAUUUUUUACAGGUUGACCUCGGAUCAGGUAGGGAUACCCGCUGAACUUAAGCAUAUCAAUAAGCGGAGGAAAAGAAACCAACAGGGAUUACCUCAGUAACGGCGAGUGAAGCGGUAACAGCUCAAAUUUGAAAUCUGCCGCAAGGCCGAGUUGUAAUUUGUAGAAGAUGCUUUGGGUAUGGCCCCGGUCUAAGUUCGUUGGAACACGACGUCAUAGAGGGUGAGAAUCCCGUAUGUGACUGGGUGCUUUUGCCUAUGUAAAGCUCUUUCGACGAGUCGAAUUGUUUGGGAAUGCAGCUCAAAAUGGGUGGUAUAUUUCAUCUAAAGCUAAGUAUUGGCCAGAGACCGAUAGCGCACAAGUAGAGUGAUCGAAAGAUGAAAAGCACUUUGGAAAGAGAGUUAAACAGUACGUGAAAUUGUUGAAAGGGAAGCGCUUGCAACCAGACUUGCACGCUGUUGAUCAUCCAGGCUUCUGUCUGGUGCACUCGGCAGCGUUCAGGCCAGCAUCGGUUCUGGUGGUGGGAUAAAGGCCUCGGGAAUGUAGCUUCUUUCGGGGAGUGUUAUAGCCCUCGGUGCAAUGCCGCCUAUCGGGACCGAGGACCGCGCUUCGGCUAGGAUGCUGGCGUAAUGGUUGUAAGCGACC
rnacentral:rRNA from 1 species